rnacentral:rRNA from 1 species
AUACGGAGGGUGCGAGCGUUGUUCGGAAUUAUUGGGCGUAAAGAGCAUGUAGGCGGUCUGUUAAGUCUGGUGUGAAAGCCCGGGGCUCAACCCCGGAAGUGCAUUGGAUACUGGCAGACUUGAGUAUGGGAGAGGAAAGCGGAAUUCCGUGUGUAGGAGUGAAAUCCGUAGAUAUUCGGAGGAACACCAGUGGCGAAGGCGGCUUUCUGGACCAAUACUGACGCUGAGAUGCGAAAGCGUGGGGAGCAAACAGGAUUAGAAACCCCGGUAGUCC